AAAUUGAAGAGUUUGAUCAUGGCUCAGAUUGAACGCUGGCGGCAGGCCUAACACAUGCAAGUCGAACGGUAACAGGAAGCAGCUUGCUGCUUUGCUGACGAGUGGCGGACGGGUGAGUAAUGUCUGGGAAACUGCCUGAUGGAGGGGGAUAACUACUGGAAACGGUGGCUAAUACCGCAUAACGUCGCAAGACCAAAGAGGGGGACCUUCGGGCCUCUUGCCAUCAGAUGUGCCCAGAUGGGAUUAGCUUGUUGGUGAGGUAACGGCUCACCAAGGCGACGAUCCUAGCUGGUCUGAGAGGAUGACCAGCCACACUGGAACUGAGACACGGUCCAGACUCCUACGGGAGGCAGCAGUGGGGAAUAUUGCACAAUGGGCGCAAGCCUGAUGCAGCCAUGCCGCGUGUAUGAAGAAGGCCUUCGGGUUGUAAAGUACUUUCAGCGGGGAGGAAGGUGUUGUGGUUAAUAACCGCAGCAAUUGACGUUACCCGCAGAAGAAGCACCGGCUAACUCCGUGCCAGCAGCCGCGGUAAUACGGAGGGUGCAAGCGUUAAUCGGAAUUACUGGGCGUAAAGCGCACGCAGGCGGUCUGUCAAGUCGGAUGUGAAAUCCCCGGGCUCAACCUGGGAACUGCAUUCGAAACUGGCAGGCUUGAGUCUUGUAGAGGGGGGUAGAAUUCCAGGUGUAGCGGUGAAAUGCGUAGAGAUCUGGAGGAAUACCGGUGGCGAAGGCGGCCCCCUGGACAAAGACUGACGCUCAGGUGCGAAAGCGUGGGGAGCAAACAGGAUUAGAUACCCUGGUAGUCCACGCCGUAAACGAUGUCUACUUGGAGGUUGUGCCCUUGAGGCGUGGCUUCCGGAGCUAACGCGUUAAGUAGACCGCACGGGAGUACGGCCGCAAGGUUAAAACUCAAAUGAAUUGACGGGGCCCGCACAAGCGGUGGAGCAUGUGGUUUAAUUCGAUGCAACGCGAAGAACCUUACCUGGUCUUGACAUCCACAGAAGAAUCCAGAGAUGGAUUUGUGCCUUCGGGAACUGUGAGACAGGUGCUGCAUGGCUGUCGUCAGCUCGUGUUGUGAAAUGUUGGGUUAAGUCCCGCAACGAGCGCAACCCUUAUCCUUUGUUGCCAGCGGUCCGGCCGGGAACUCAAAGGAGACUGCCAGUGAUAAACUGGAGGAAGGUGGGGAUGACGUCAAGUCAUCAUGGCCCUUACGACCAGGGCUACACACGUGCUACAAUGGCGCAUACAAAGAGAAGCGACCUCGCGAGAGCAAGCGGACCUCAUAAAGUGCGUCGUAGUCCGGAUUGGAGUCUGCAACUCGACUCCAUGAAGUCGGAAUCGCUAGUAAUCGUGGAUCAGAAUGCCACGGUGAAUACGUUCCCGGGCCUUGUACACACCGCCCGUCACACCAUGGGAGUGGGUUGCAAAAGAAGUAGGUAGCUUAACCUUCGGGAGGGCGCUUACCACUUUGUGAUUCAUGACUGGGGUGAAGUCGUAACAAGGUAACCGUAGGGGAACCUGCGGUUGGAUCACCUCCUUACCUGAAAGAAGC
rnacentral:rRNA from 1 species